rnacentral:sRNA from 1 species
UGUAGUAAAUAAGCACUAAAAUUUAAAGGAAAUUAUCCUUUUUUUUUUGUGCUCAAAUUGUUCAUUUGUUUGUUUUUUACAAAUGUUAUGGCGUUUGUAUGCUUCACCUUGGUUUAAAUCCCCACAAAUCAAUAAUUCUUGAUGUUAGAAAAAAUUGAGUCAAACCAAAAUGCAAGCCGGAUUGCACAUGCGCAAACAAAAAACAUCGCCGCGUACUUCCGAAGAAUAGUUAUUUACUUUUAAUGCAAAUUCAAGGCAACAACCAUUGUUUAGGUACCGAAAACACGCCAAUUGAUAUAAUUAUACAUUAAAUCGGUUGUCAUACAUUAGAAGAUACCAAGAAAAUACCAAUUAUCGGUUUCUUACGUGUUUGAUAGAAUCAUCCUUAACGGAGAGCGACGAUGAAACCAGCACCGCUCCUUUAAAUUUGUUAAGGAGGGAAGAUGCUGCAAUGGACUUGAGUGGGUCUGGCUGGACAGUGGGAUUAGAAAAAUUUGGUGCAAAUUAGUCUGCCAAUUAUGAACGAAUACAGAUAUCUUCAAUGAUAAUAAAGUGUCCGUUGCCGCUACAUGA